GCAGUCGACGGUACAGGUGUAGCAUACAUGCUGACGAGUGGCGCACGGGUGCGUAACGCGUAUGCAACCUACCUAUAACUGGGGAAUAGCCUUCUGAAAGGAAGAUUAACACCGCAUAACAUCACGAGACGGCAUCGCCUUGUGAUCAAAUCUCCGGAGGUUAUAGAUGGGCAUGCGUGACAUUAGCUAGUUGGUGAGGUAACGGCUCACCAAGGCGACGAUGUCUAGGGGGUCUGAGAGGAUGAUCCCCCACACUGGUACUGAGACACGGACCAGACUCCUACGGGAGGCAGCAGUAAGGAAUAUUGGACAAUGGGCGCAAGCCUGAUCCAGCCAUGCCGCGUGAAGGAUGACGGCCCUCCGGGUUGUAAACUUCUUUUAUACGGGAAUAAACCCCUCGAUUCUUCGAGGGCUGAAUGUACCGUAAGAAUAAGGAUCGGCUAACUUCGUGCCAGCAGCCGCGGUAAUACGAAGGAUCCAAGCGUUAUCCGGAUUUAUUGGGUUUAAAGGGUGCGUAGGCGGACUAUUAAGUCAGUGGUGAAAGCCUGCAGCUCAACUGCAGAAUUGCCAUUGAUACUGAUGGUCUUGAGUACAUUUGAGGUGGGCGGAAUGUGUCAUGUAGUGGUGAAAUACUUAGAUAUGACACAGAACUCCGAUUGCGAAGGCAGCUCACUAAACUGUAACUGACGCUGAGGCACGAAAGCGUGGGGAUCAAACAGGAUUAGAUACCCUGGUAGUCCACGCCCUAAACGAUGAUUACUCGAUGUGUGCGAUACACUGUACGCGUCUGAGCGAAAGCAUUAAGUAAUCCACC
rnacentral:rRNA from 1 species